CAACUUUCAUAGGUAGAUUUUUUAAGACUCCUUCCCUUUUAAUAGUAUUGAUAUUAUAUAGUUAAGUAAUUAAUUUAUGUAUAAAUUAAACUAUACGUAUCACACAUCACCGAAGAGAUACAAAUAGAAUUGGUAACCGCAAAACAGUUAUACAUUUAUAUGUACGUGUCUCCACAUUGGGGUGUCUUCAAGAGACAUGUCCCUUAGUUAGUGUCUCAUGUAAAACUAUAAAUACAUUCUAAAUAUCUAAUAAAGAAGUGUGGUUUUCCUUUUAUAAGAGUACGAGUAAUACGUUGAGUGUCAAACAAGAAACAGAGAGAAAGAGAUAAACAGAGUAAAAUCUGUGUUGUCUGAUCCUUAACAACUUUUAGAGUCAAAAGAUCUACAUGGUAUCAGAGCUAUGGAGACAACAAUACAGCAAGUUAUUCCAAUAUUCAAUGGUGAAUCAUAUGGGUUUUGGAAAAUCAAGAUGAUAACCAUCUUGAAAAUACGUAAGUUGUGGGAUGUUAUAGAAAAUGGAGUUUACGUUAGUUUCAUCUUCUGAAAACACACCAGCGUUAAGUAUAGAGAGAAAUAAUCAAGUGAUGAAGGAUAUGAUGGCUCUUCAGAUUCUUCAAAGUGCAGUAUUGGAAUCAAUAUUUCCGAGAAUUGCUCACGCAUCAAACGCAAAAGAAGCUUGGAACGCUUUGAAAAUGGAGUUCCAGGGAAGUUCACAAGUAACGAUGAUAAAUCUUCAGACCUUGAGAAGAGAAUAUGAGAAUUUGAAGAUGGAGAAAAGUGAAACCAUAAAUGAUUUCGCAGCCAAGUUGAUUAACAUGAGUAAUCAACUAAGAGUUCAUGGUGAAGAAAAGACUGAUUACCAAUUGGUUCAAAAGGUUCUUAUCUCUUUACCACAAAAAUUUGACAGCAUCGUUUCCGUUCUUGAACAAACAAAGGAUCUAUCAACUCUCUCGAUGACAUAAAUGAUAGGUACCUUGAAAGCGCAUGAGAAGCGCUUAAGUCUCCGAGAAGAACGAUCGACGGAAGGAGCGUUCUAUGGAGAAAAUUUUGUUUCAAAAAGAAGAAACAAAAGUGAAGAUAAACAUCACAAGAAGACCGAUAAAUGGUGUGGUGUUUGCAAAAGAAACAAUCACAAUGAAAGUGAAUGCUGGUCAAAGAAAAUGAAAAGCCAAGGAACCUAUUCACAAGUGGUUGUAAACAAUGAGAGAAAGUGUUUCGUGUGUAACAAACCGGGACAUCUAGCAAAGAACUGCAAACUUAGAAAGACCGAGAGUGCGGAUCUAAGUAUUGAAGAAACAAAAGAGGACUCAGAAGAUGAAGGUCACAUGUUGUUUAGUGCAGUUGAAGAAGAAACAUCAUCAACAGUAGAUGAUGAAACAUGGUUAGUUGACAGCGGAUGUACUAACCACAUGACCAAAGAAGUCUCAUACUUCAUCACUCUUGAUAAAAGUAUAAAAAUACUAAUCAAAGUCGGGAAUGUUCAACGAGUAAUCACGGCAGGGAAAGGGAAUAUCCAAGUGAUGACAAGCCAAGGAGAGAAGAUCAUCAAAGAGGUGUUUCUAGUGCCGAACUUAGCAAGGAAUCUGUUAAGUGUUUCACAAAUGGUUUCAAAUGGGUAUGGAGUUUUGUUUAAAACCAAUAGAUAUUUCAUAGAUGAUCUUCAAGGAAGAAAGAUACUGAAUAUCAAGAUGAAGCACAAGAGUUUUCCAUUUAGAUGGACUAAAUUGGAGGCUAAUGCAUUACUAGCACAUGAAGAAAAUGCAAACGAACAUUUUGUACGAGAGGCUGAACAUAAUGGAAAGAUCAAACUUGACUACUGUCCAGGAGAGUUAAAAAUACCAGAGCUAUUGACGAAGCUCUUAAACACAACAAUUUCCGAGGUUCUACGAGAAUAGAGAUGAAGCAAUGAUCAAGGAGGAGUGUAGGAUGUGAUCAAGUCUUCACCUUAUAUUAUUAGUUUAUAAGAGUCAUAUAUAUAUAUAGCUAAGUAAUUAAUUUAUGUAUAAAUUAAACUAUUCGUAUCACACACCACCGAAGAGAUACAAAUAGAAUUGGUAACCGCAAAGCAGUUAUACAUUUUUAUGUACGUGUCUCCACAUUGGGGUGUCUUCAAGAGACAUGUCCCUUAGUUAUAACAUGAUUAAUGGGAGGUUCUUAGAGUAGGGUUCUUAGCAGAAUAUAAGAAACCGUUUCUUAACUUUUAACUAAAAAAGCUAAGAACCGGUUCUUAAAUAAGCUAAUCAUGCUCUUAGUGUCUCAUGUAAAACUAUAAAUACAUUCUAAAUAUCUAAUAAAGAAAUGUGGUUUGUGUUCAGAAAAAAAAAGUGUGGUUUUUCUUUUAUAAGAGUACGAGUAAUACGUUGAGUGUCAAACAAGAAACAGAGAGAAAGAGAUAAACAGAGUAAAAUCUGUGUUGUAUGAUCCUUAACAACUUUGAGAGUCAAAAGAUCAAGAGCUCCAUGAAUCCAAAUUCGUCGAUCUACACCGAAUGACCGAACCCAAGAGAUAGUAUAACCAACAAUGUAAGCAUCUUGACAAAACAGAAUGAUUAUACGUGUCUUUUUUUUGGGGUGCAAAUGUUAAAAUUAUAAGUGUCCUUGAACAUCUAUGCAUGUGCAAUUAGAACAUCCCGCUCCUUUGUUGUUCUUGUAACUCCCUUUCUCAGCUCGUAAAAAGGCUUACGACCCUAUAUUUUGUUGUUUUAAUUCUAAUUUUUAGUGAAAUAAUAAACGUUGAUAUUUUUUAUUGGCGGCGGUAAAUAACCAAGGCAACUUGCACAAAUUAAUCAUGUUGGUAAUGCACCAGCGUCGCAUCCCCAUUUUUUUCCCUUCUGAAAUUCAUUAGAAAUAAAGAACAGAGUUCAAAAACUAUAAUAACAUCCAAAAGAACAAUCUCUCAUUCCAGGCUAAACACUGGCCUUGAUCGAUCAAAGUUAACACUACUCAACCCUCCCAAGCAACAAAAAAAUCAGGAGAACACUUCAAAGGAACCGGUUUUCAUUGACAAAGAAUUCAAAGAAUGCAAAUAUCGUUUUUCCAUAACUAGAAGAUAUGGAUAUUUAUUUUUUAAGCAAGCAAAUAAAGAAGAAACGAAAAAAUAGUACAUAAAUAAGUUUUAUUUUCUUUCUAGAUACAAUGGAAUUUGAUAAUAUAUAGUACAUUUUGUUUUAAAAAAAGAAAAAUAUUUCUUUAGCAAUAUCUACUAUCUACUAUCUACUAUUAUAAAGUUAUGUUUCCCUCACUCCUAGGCAAUCCACGUCAGCCGCCAGCUAGAUAAGUUGAGAAAAGAGAUGGUGCCACGUGUCCAGACACCUAGAGUUUUGCGUUUCAUUAAUCUCACGUGAUGGGCUUCUAUCGGUUGGCGCAGAAUUGGGCUUUCGACUUGGUGAGUUUCCGGCCCGAUGAAAAAGGAGUGUCUCUAACCCUAAUACAUCUGCAGUCUUCAUCUAGCCUUGACUGCGACAUCACUUCGGCAAGUCGAUCUAUCUAAGACAUCAUUGGUCAUCUCGAGAGGUUCAUCGUCGCCUGUGAAAGCUUUAGGUAUACCAUCAGUGGAAGUUCUCAAAGUCUCAGAGAUAAGAGUCUCUAUCAGUAAUCGCCGCGUCUAAAAGUUCUGAAAGUCUCAGAGAUAAGAGUUGAUUCUCACGCGGUGGCGAGUUGAUGAUGGGUGUCGGUUCGUGUGCUUUGGUAUCGACUCAUCUCCUCACAAUCGUUACAAGCUCCAUUGAUUCAACGCCAUUAAUGAGUUCUUAAGUCUUCGGUGAUCAAUCGCUCAUUCAAUGAUUCCAACCCCUCUUUCACGCAGUAUUUCUCCACCUAUAAAAAGGUCUGGCUGCACGCAAGAAACGUUAGACGUGGUGGCGAGUUGAUGAUGGGUGUCGACAUUCUCUUUGUCGAUUCUCAGGCGACUUCCAUUCCAGCCACCAUUGAAAAGGAGGUAGCACUCAAGAUUCAAGAGGCAGAUGGUUCAUGGUAUGGAAGUUGGGUAAUUUGCUACACAUAUGCAACGUGGUUUUCUCUUGGAGGCUUGGCACGAACUGGUAAAACAUAUGAAAACUAUUUGGCUAUGCAUGAAGGUGUUGACUUCCUUCAAGAAACUAAACAACAAUGGAGGUUGGGGAGAAAGGUAUU